GACACUCUCUCUCUCUAGCUCUCACCUCUCCCUCAUCUUCUCUCCUCAAUUUCACCUCCAUGGAGUAUGAUUCCGAACAAAGUCCGAGAAUUAAAGUUGUUCUACGGAACGAGGGCUACCUAUCCAUCCAAGAAAAAUUACGAUCGGAUCACGUAGGAGUUUCGGUUUCGCUCGGAUCUUUGGGGUUUUGCUCAAAACCCAUGAGAGAAGCGUUUGAUGAAUGAGCUGUAUGAUUAUUGGGAUUUGAUUGGCUGUAAUUGAGAAUUGGAAUGAGGAUGUGAUUGCAACGCAAGGGGUGGAAAUGCAGAUUGCAACGCAAGGGGUGGUAAUGCAAAGACCGAAAUAUUGGGUGAUGUUGAUUGCAACGCAAGGGGUGGAAAUGCAAACUGCAACGCAAGGGGUGGAAAUGCAGAGUGACUGAGAUUAUGAGAAGUGUCGAAAUGGUUGUGAACCUAUUGUACACUACAUGGACACAGUCUUGGAGGGUGUGAAGUGCAUGCAGACAUCACAGGCUAAAGUUAUUUUUUGAAGAACUUGUCUUUCCCUUGUAAAUCAAACUGUAUUGUACUAUUUUCUCAAAUUUGGAAUAUUGUAUCAGUUGACAAAAUUGUGAGAUUUAGAAACUGUAUGUUGUAAUUUGGGGUACCGUAUGUACUAUUGUGAGGAUUUGUAUUUAAAAUGGUAUUGUUAUUUAUAUUAAAAA